UUUAUAAACCGGGCACGUUAGUCCUAAUUUCUCGAACAUUCAAUUCUCUGUCCAUAAAUCUAAGGUUUCUCAUCGCAGCAAGAUUUGUUAUUGUGUUUUAUAACACCAUUAAUAUUGCUGUUAACCUCAGAAUCUCCAAUCUGUAAACCAUGGAUGCUCAGAGAGCUUUGCUUGAUGAACUCAUGGGCACAGGACGAAAUUUGACUGAAGAAGAGAGAAAGGGAUACAAGGAAAUUAGGUGGGAUGAUAAGGAAGUUUGUGCAUUCUAUAUGGUUCAAUUCUGCCCCCAUGAUCUUUUUGUUAACACUCGGAGCGAUCUAGGGGUGUGCCCGAGAAUUCAUGACCCAAAGUUGAAGGACAGGUAAUGUUUGAUCAUUAGUUUAGGUGUUAAUUAUCAUUUUUUUUUUCAGGAUGCGUUCUAAGGGUUGUUCCUGGCUCCUAUCCUGCAGUCAUUUUUCUUAACUUAUGUGCAACUUAUUUUAGGAAGAUGAUAACAUGUGCAACUUAUUUUAGCAAGGUGAUGCUUUUGGUAAGGGGUUAAUGUCGCGUACGAUAAUUAUCUUGUGAUCUGGAUCCAUUUAGCUUCUUAUGUUCCUCCCCAUUUCUUUUUGGGAAAAAUCCUGCAUUAAUCCCCAAUAUAUUCACUUAGUAGUAAAUGUGUUACUGUUCUGUUUCUUUUUUCAUCCAAGUCCUCUACCUUUUAUAGGUUGCAGCAACAUCUUUCUUUUCUCUUUCUAUUUCGUCUUUUGUGGGGUUUAUUUAUUUAUUUAUUAUUAUUUUUUAAAUCAAGUGUUUACCAUUUUACCCCCUGAAAAUUGACCUUUUUUACAAGUUAUGAUCAAUUGGACAGUGUACAUUAACCAUAACCAUGGUGCUAUGGAAAUGAUAGUUUGGGGACUUAAGUGCCAUGAAGAUAAAUAGAAUGGGGACCCAUUUGCUUCUAAGUUAAUAACUAAUGCUGCAAUUUUCCCUUCAUAUUCUAUCUUCCUUUUUUCUGCCUCUUGCAACAGUGUACCCGUCAUAGAGGUUUUAUUUUGGAAGUGACUAUUGUUUUGUGUAUCCUUUGCUGAUAAAGGUUAUUAGUUGUGGCUGGCUGGCUGCAAUAGAUCCUACUUUUGAACAUUUAGUAUCUUUUGAUAGUUGGCAUAUCAAAAGAUUUUCAGGUCAGAUGGAUGAGAGUUAACUCUUUUCACAUAGCUAAUCUGUUGGUUUACAGCUAUUACUGGGAUGGAAAAUAAAACUUUCCUUUGUAUGAAGUAAAAAAAUGUUGCCUUGUGAUGGUGUUAUAUCACCUAUAAUUGUCCUAGCUUAUUUACUGAUUUUUUAAAAUUCUUUUUCAUGAAGGAUUGGUUUUUAUCUAGCUCAAAAGGAUCAUAAAUUAUUUAUACAUGAACCAACUUAUCGUAUGAGUCAUUUAUUUAUUCGUUUUCAUCCUUGAGUAUUUCGUACUUAUUUGGAUUAUUUUACAUUGAGUAUAAAGUAAUCAACAUUACAAAUGACUCUCGAUAUACCUUCUUGAAGAGUGUUCCAAAAGGUAAUUAUCUUUAAG